UCCCCGAGGCGAGGCGGGAACGGGGCUGGCGCGGGCUCCGCCGGCUCCAGCGAGCUGCGGCUGCGCACCGCCGCAUCGCCUCGGGGAGCGAGGAGACACGUGGCGGCAGCGCUGGGCAGCGGAGCAGUUCUCCGGAGCCGGCAGAGCCCCAGCCCCGCCUUGCCUUGCCUUGCCUUGCCUCGCCUCGCCUCACCUGCGGGAGGAGCUGCUGCCUGCCCGGCAGGGGAGCGAGGCGCUUACCUGUUCUGUGACUCACGGGAUUUUCUGUUUGCUGAGUGCCAAGCAGCCAGAAUUAGAAAUUUCAAACCCUGUCCUGAUUGUCCAGUGAUGUAACAUUACCGCCCUCGAACCAACCCAUGCUUCAACAUUUUCAUUUGGGGGCACAGCUCAGUAUUUUUAUUUUCACGUUUCCCCUUAAAAACAGAUCAUUACUGAUCCACAAGACAAAGAAAGUCUUGUUCUGGUCUGCUUCCAGCAGAGACGGAGUCUCUCUUGGCUCUGAAGGGCAAGGAAUAUCCUGGUUUGUUCUCUGGAGGUGCUGGGACCCUGAGGAGAGUUGAGCUGAAGCCUCUUGGAGAAAAGCCUGUAAGCCUGGAGCUGCAGAGUACUUCUCCAGGGAUCCUGGAGGAGAGGGGAUCCCUGACCCCUGAGCCAGGCCAAGUGCAGAAGGGGCAGGGCAGGCCUCCAAAGCAGGCAGAGAACUUGGAGCUCCACGAGGUGUUUGAGGACGUGGCAGUGUAUUUCACACAGGAGGAGUGGGAGCUGCUGAACAAUGAAGACAAGGUGCUUUACCAGGACCAGAUGCUGAGGGAUUUCAAAGUCCUUGUUUCCCUGGGUAAAGCUCUGGUUCUUGCUUCUUCUUGGAGCUAUAUGAGCUGUGAAAUUCUGUAGUCAUCUUCCUAUAUUUCAACAGUCUCAUCUUCAUGAACUUUUGGCUGGAGGUUUAAAUUCAGUUCCUCCCCACUGCUCUGUCAAUGAUCAGACCUUGCUCACAUUUCUUAUUGAUAUAAUCUUCUUCAUUUGAUCCAGCCACAUCACUUGUGUACGUAUAGUCACUAAAAGCUCUUCUUAGGGAACUGUUUUGAUUUCCUCCCUCUUUUGCCUAGUGUAUCCUGUCCAAACACAUUUUACAAUCCUAACGUGUUCAGUUCAGUCCUAUCUAAAUCCUUUUUCUCCUUAUGACCCAGCACAAGGUAAUGGAAGUCUUAUCUGCCUCUGCUACUAGAAAAUGUAGAUGAUGCAUUUUCUCAACUCUUCCUCUAGUGACAGAUGUGCACAUGAUAUAACUCAGGUACUUUUAUCAAGGGGCCACUGGAAGCUUCUGUCUACAUUCCUCCCUAAUAUCUUCAUCUUCAUAGACCACUGACUCUGACUUUGCCAUAUUGACAUUAAGGUGUAUGCUCUCACACACACUCCACCAUUCUCAAAAGUUUUCUUCUCCUCCUUGUAAAAAUCCACCUGCAGAUCAGACACCCGUCACUGCGAUAAAAAGCCAUGGGCUAGGUGCAGGGUCUAGUGAAAACCAGUUUCCCUUUCCAGAGGAUCUCUAAUGCAGGGGCUUGUUCUGGCUUGUGCACAGGAUUGAGGUACUUACCUUUUACUAAGUAAGUUUGCUUUUCUGAUGCUUUCUUUUCCCUCCAUUUCCCCCUGAGGAUUUCUUUAGGGAAGUGCUCAAAUGCUUUCUCAAGCUCAGUAAAGACCUCAUAGACUACAUUAUGGGCUCUCACAUGCUAUGAAGUGUGUUUCUUUUUGCCUUCUUUUUGUCAUUUUCAUGACUCUGGGGAACUUGGUUGUAUAUCUGGCAUUACUUGCCAACUUGUGGACUCAUCUGCAUUCCUGGGAUGUUCCUCCCAUUGGGUGGGAUGCUUGAUUAGUUGCAACUACAGUUAUUAUACAAUUAUCUUGUCCAGUGCCCCGGUGAUGCUGAUAUAUCCUCUCUCUCAGAAAGCAGUUUCAUUAUCAGCCACUUGUCAUGGACACUUUUCAUUGCCACUGGUCCUCACUUCAAACCUUCAUUGAGAAAAGCUAAUUUCAUUCCUUUAACUUGAGUUCCACUGAUGAA